rnacentral:rRNA from 1 species
UACGGAGGUGGCAGGCGUUACUCGGAUUGAUUGGGUGUAAAGGGCAUGUAGGCGGUGAAUUAAGUCGAGUGUGAAAUCCCUUGGCUCAACCAAGGAACUGCACUCGAUACUGAUUUGCUUGAGUGAUGGAGAGGAAGAUGGAAUUCCCGGUGUAACAGUGAAAUGUGUAGAUAUCGGGAGGAACACCAGUGGCGAAGGCGAUCUUCUGGACAUCAACUGACGCUGAAAUGCGAGAGCUAGGGGAGCAAACAGG